rnacentral:rRNA from 1 species
AGAGUUUGGUUCUGGCUCAGAUUGAACGCUAGCGGGAUGCCUUACACAUGCAAGUCGAACGGCAGCGCGGACUUCGGUCUGGCGGCGAGUGGCGAACGGGUGAGUAAUGUAUCGGAACGUGCCUAGUAGCGGGGGAUAACUACUCGAAAGAGUAGCUAAUACCGCAUACGCCCUACGGGGGAAAGGGGGGGAUCGCAAGACCUCUCACUAUUAGAGCGGCCGAUAUCGGAUUAGCUAGUUGGUGAGGUAAAGGCUCACCAAGGCGACGAUCAGUAGCUGGUCUGAGAGGACGAUCAGCCACACUGGGACUGAGACACGGCCCAGACUCCUACGGGAGGCAGCAGUGGGGAAUUUUGGACAAUGGGGGAAACCCUGAUCCAGCAAUGCCGCGUGAGUGAAGAAGGCCUUCGGGUUGUAAAGCUCUUUUGUCAGGGAAGAAACACCGGCUCUAACACAGUCCGGGAAUGACGGUACCUGAAGAAUAAGCACCGGCUAACUACGUGCUAGCAGCCGCGGUAAUACGUAGGGUGCAAGCGUUAAUCGGAAUUACUGGGCGUAAAGCGUGCGCAGGCGGUUAUACAAGACAGGCGUGAAAUCCCCGGGCUUAACCUGGGAAUGGCGCCUGUGACUGUAUAGCUAGAGUGUGUCAGAGGGGGGUAGAAUUCCACGUGUAGCAGUA